rnacentral:misc_RNA from 1 species
ACACACACACACAUACACACAUAUACACAACACACACACACAUACACAAGCGUGCGCGUAUGUGUGUUAUUGGUAUAAAAAUAACAAAUUAUUGUUAAUAAUUUGUAUUGUACUACCUAUAGAGUUUUUUUAUUUUUCUCGUCUACUCCAACUCGUCGUGUUUAUCGCGAAACCCGAUCGUCACCAUCGGGUGAUUACGGCACCGGAUACUUACGACGGGGCUUCCGACGUACCGCGACUAUGGAAAAUCAGUCUGUACCCGGAUCGUUAUUCGAAUGUUUGUUGUUCGACGGCGCCCUGACGUGAAAUCUCGAAAGUAAUUUGGGUUUUUUCGGUUGUUAAUGCGCGUCGGAUUUCCCGUCCGCGUAUGAGACGUUGGGCUUCCGGUGUACCGCCAUUCGCGUCGUACCACUUCGGUCUUAUUUUUUCCCGCCGGUGAACUGUGCUUUACGCCGUCGCACGGUGUACACAUAUACCGCUGCUAACGCGUCCGUCCGCUACCUGCGUCUGUGUUGCAUGAAAUACUGGCACCGUGCACGAUAUGUCCAAGAAGAAGGAUCAUGAUAGAAAAGGUCAGUGGUCGUGGGCCGACAACAUUCAUCCCAAUGAUAUCACCUACGAAAAUGUCCUCAAAACUUAUCGUAUUGGACAGUCCAAGUGCAAACCUCUGUCUUGCCGUCGUAAUUGCAAGAAUAAUCCAUAUUGUUUAUCUGGACUUGGUGAACAACGUUGGCUUCAAGAUAAAGUACGCACUCCUGUUAGUGACUAUGAAGAUCCAGAACUUGAACGACGACAAAAUAAUAAGUUUGUUGGUUUAAAAAACUUAGGUGCAACAUGUUAUAUUAACAGUCUUCUGCAGUUGUGGUUUCAUAACAUUAACUUUAGAAAAGCAAUAUUUAAUUGGAAACCUGAAGAAGAUUCAAUGGAAGGACAAAAUAAAUCUCUUUUCAUUGAAAAUGCAUAUACUCCAGAGACUAGUGUUGGUCAUUUACAAUUAGUAUUUGCUUUGAUGCAGUUUGGUAAACAACGAUCAGUUGAUCCUGAAGACUUUAUUACAACUUUAAGAAUCAAUACUGCACUACAACAGGAUGCUCAUGAGUUCUCAAAUUUGUUCCUAUCAGUUUUAGAAAACAAGUUUAGUACACAAUCUGAUGCUUCUGUUAGAGACAUGGUGAAAGAUAAUUUUCUUGGAGAAUAUAAAUAUGUUACUACAUGUUUAAAAUGUAAAACUAAAUCUACACGCCCAUCAACAUUUUAUGAACUUGAUUUGAACAUAAAAGGUCAUAAGACAUUAAAUGACAGUUUGCAAGAGUUCUUAAAAGAAGAACAUCUUACUGGAGAUGACAAGUAUUACUGUGAUCAUUGUGAUAGUAAACAAGAUGCUGUGCGAAAAAUAUGUUUAAUCACAUUACCUCCUGUGUUAAAUAUUCAAUUGAUGCGUUUUGUUUAUGAUAGACAAACAAUGCAAAAAAAGAAAUUAAAUACUUACAUACAGUUUUCACAAACAUUAGACAUGGGGCAAUAUUUAAAUUUACCUGUCCAACCUGAUGAAUCUUCAAAAGAUAAACAUAUGUACAAUUUAUGUGCAGUUCUUAUACAUAAAGGUUCAAGUGCAUAUUCUGGUCACUAUGUUGCCCAUAUUAAAGAUAUUGCUGCAGAAGAAUGGUAUAAAAUUAAUGAUGAAAAUGUUGAAAAAUUAAAGGGUAAAGGUUUAAAUUUGUGUACUGAAGAUGAGUUUAAACUUAAUGGUUCAAAAGUUGCUAAAGCUCCAAAAAUUCAAAAAGGAAUGUUGCAAACAAAUGAUGCUUAUAUGUUGGUUUAUAUGCAUACUAGCAUGAUAAAAAAACUGAAAACAGAAUCUUUUGAUUGGAAGUUAUCACCACGUUUGACUCAUCUUGUUGAUGCUCGUAAUAAUAACUUUGAAAAUGCAAUAUUAAAUAUUAAAAGUAAUCGUGAAUAUGUAGAAGACAAAGAUAAAGUUUUUGUCGAACAAAUGUUGAAUUUGAUAACUGAGAUGAAUUCAAUACCAGCAAAAGAAGAAGAUAGAGAGGCUAUUUCAUUGCAGUGGCUUAAUUAUUGGUUUAAAAUCACACCAAAUCAAAGUGUUAAAGAAAUAAAUAAUCAUGCUAUAUUAUGUAAACAUGAAUUACUUGAUCCUGAUAAAGUGCAUGAAGCUAAAUACAUUGGAACUAAACUAGCUGAUAAAUUGUAUGGUAUCUACCAAGGAGGCCCAAGACUGAAGUUGAAUUCAUCCUUAUGUUGGAAAUGUGUUAGAAAUAAAUGUGCCUUAUUAUACACAAAAACAUUAACUACUGAACAAAACAAAACUAUAACUUCAAUUUUACAAAAUUGGGAACCCACUACUAUUAAUAAUAAUAAUUCAAGUCGUGAAACUAACUUUUGGGUUGGUAAAGACUCUUUAAAAAGUUGGAGGCGAAUGUAUUUAGAGUUGUUUGAAUAUUUUGUGAAUAACCAUGAUAUACCUCCAAAUACUGAUCUGCCACUUAAUCCAAAUUUGUUGUCUCCAGUAUUUUAUCCUUCAAAUAAUUUAGUUGAAGAAGAUAGGAAAUACUUCAAAGCAAAAGUUAUGAAAAUGGAUCGUAUUACGUUGGAGUCUAUGGAUGGAUAUCGUAAAAUUGCUCAUUUACUUGUUAAUAAUUCAUUAUCAAUUUUUAAAAUUUUGAAGCUCACUGAUUUCAAACCAUUUCAUUGUUCCUUGUUAGAAUUGGAAUCAGUUUUAGAAGAAAUGACAAAUAUACUAUCUACAGUUAUUGCUAAAAAUGUUAAUGAUGAAUUAGCUAACGAAGAGAAAAAAAUAAAACAAGAGGUUAUUAAUGAGAAUUAUGAAAAGAAUAAUUUGCAUAACGGUGUAGUUAAAAUUGAGAAUGAAUCAAAAACAGACGAUGAACACAAAGAUGAUGAUGUAGAGUAUAAUAGUCAAGAAGAAAAAGAUAAACACGAUGAUUCAGAUUCUAUAGAUAAAAAUGAUAUAGAGUAUAUGUCAUGGAUUUUCAAUGAAGACAUAACUUGUUCACAUGGAAACAUGACUAUUGAAAAUAAUACAAGAAAAUUGGUUCCCGAAACUGUAUGGAGUGUACUUCAUUCUUAUUUUCCCAAAGCACCAAUAUUUACUGAUGGUAUUGAACCUUGCAAUAUGUGUCGAAGUAUGCAUAAUCAAGAUGAGAUAACCAAAAAUCUUCAUCGGCAAUCAGCCAUUACAGAAAAAGAAUUACUAAGUGAUUUACUAUUGAAUAAAAAAAGACCAGUUCCUUCUCAUGAAAAUUCUCCAUAUCCUUGUGUUUCUAAAGAAUUUUUAGAAUCUUGGCGAAAAUUUAUCAGAAAUCCAUCUAAAGAACCUAGGCCAAAUGCAAUUGUUAACGAAGUAAUACUUUGCAAAGAACACUCUGGACUAUUAUUUGAACCACCAUCAUUAUUAUACCCAACAGAACAAAAUCCAACUAUUAACUGUAGAAGAAUGGGAGAUUCUUUCACGUUGUUACAAAACUGAUUAUGCAGUUUAUGUAUACUUUGAUGAACUGGGAGUGUUUAAAUCAUCCAAACCAGAAUUCUGUGAACCGUGUCGUCAGAGAAGGCUAGACGAA